rnacentral:lncRNA from 1 species
CAAUAUUUCAAAUAAUCGAGGUCUAUUUGAACAAGUUUUCGGCUUUUAACCAGCCCUUGUUUUACCGCGUAGUGCAAAUUAGCCUCCUUAUGUCUUUAUCUGUUUGCAGAUGCAAUUUUUCCAGUUCCUUCUGGGGACACGAUUGCCGGAUUGCGAAGGGAAAUGCCUCGUCAAACAUGUUUCUGUGAACUAUGAAGGGUCAUGGUUCAGAGGAGUGGUAAUGGACAGAAGACCAGAUGGGCCAAGAGAAUUAUUUUCAGUGCUGUUGGUUGAUGUUGGUGUUGAAAUUAAGGACCUAACUGAUGACUUGAUUUAUCCACUACCCCAAGAAACCCAAGCACAUCAAAUUCAGGCUUUCUUAAUAGCUUUGCACGGGAUUGAACCACUUUCGGUUGAAGUUGACAUCAGCGUUGGCAAAACUGUCUUGGAGCCCUCUCAGGGUUGGGACCCGUACCAAGUUAGACUUUUUCAAAAUCUUCUGGAGAAUCACGAUGAAGCUUUUUUCAAAACAUCUAUUGUGAAAGAAAAUGUAAGGCAUGGCACUCUGUACAUAAUUAGAAACAAAGAAAGAAUCAAUGUAAACGAGACUCUAGUUCAACUGAAUCUUGCCCAGAACAAGAAUCAAGCGAUAGAUGUUUCCAAACAUUUAAUCCGAAACAGCAGCCAUUAUAAAUUUGUUAUAAGCAUACUCGGGCGUGAGAAGCAAGAAACAAGAUCCAAAUUCAAUCGGAGUGGCAUAGAUUGUGUAGGAUCACCAAGUGCCUCCUUCAAACUUUCAAGAGCCAGACAGCUUCAAACUGUUGAGGCAAGUGAAGAUAAUGUCACCUCUGAAGAUGGUAAUAAGAAUAAUCACUCUCGUGAGCGUAAUGAUUGUAUAGAACAGUCGGCAGAAAGUAGAGCUAAAACCUGUAUUUACCCUGCUGGUUUUCAACCUCUAAGUAAGAAAAAAAAACAACCAAGAUCUCCCAGAUUUGGAAGCUUAAUUCACAGCGCACAUAAUACAAGCUUGGGGAUGGAAGCAAGUACCUCUGUGCAACAAUUUUUGCCCGAGUCAUCAGGUAAUAAUUUAAAAUCAGCCAAGCCAAUUGAAAUUGAUCUUGAAUCGAAUAACAAGAAAACCUCCACAAAUGAAAGCACUAAUUCGUUGCUGUACAACAAAAAUGAGAAAGAAUUAUCAGGAGAAGAAAUUAAAAUCGCUUCAGCCAAGUCUAGUAAUAAACCGAAGGGUAGGAUAUGGAAUAAUGUCAUUGCUCCUUGUAGUCAAGCUAACGAUGAUAAGGGUGCAAGUAGUAGUGAUGAAUAUGAUGUUGAACUUCCUUCAAGGAAACCUUGUGCCACUAUUAAGGCGCAUGAACAGGAAUAUAAAAUACUGUCACUGUAUAAUAAAAGCCUCAAAAGAGACUCAACAGCAGUUUUUUCACAGUUAAAAGACUGUAAUCUCAUCUCUUCUUCAUUUAGUAAUGCAGGUGCAGAAGAUAAUUUUACCAAAAAUGAUGCCAUGGCUGACAAAUACCUAGCUAGUAACAGCUUCUCAAACUCCUCGUUCUCUGAGUGUGAUUCGCCAGCAGCUGCAACCUCGAAAAGUAUUAAUAUCGUUGUCAAUGCUCCAGUGCUAUCAAACACUGUGUUAGAAAACAGCCAUGCAUCUCCUCAGAUUGUCUCCUACGCCUCAAGUACCUCAAGCAGAGGAAAAACAAGACUUCAACUUGAAAGAGAAAGAUUAGCUGUGUCUCAUCAGAUGUCAGAGAAUACAACCGAGACUUCUGGUGGCAAAGGCCUCAUUGAAGGGAAUGUUGAAGCUGAAUUCAGUGACUCCUCAUCACAGAACAGUGCUUCUUGUUUUUACAAUACUGAAAAUCAGUGGGACACCUCUGUUACAAGUAGUAGAAGUGGACGAAGACUCUUGGACAACAACUCUCUUGCUAAUUCGAUGUCAGAGUUUGAAGACGUUUCUCGAAAGAAGCGGUCUGAAGAAUUCUAUUUGCAGUCAGAGAAAGUGCUUGUUCAUAAUAUUUUUGAUGCUGACAUUGAGGCUAUCAAAUCUUUUACAGACCUUGAUCUCCACCCAGAUGUAAAGAAUGCUUGUAGAAGGAUUGGUUGGACAUCUUUUCACAGAGCUCAAGCUUAUGCUUUUCCCUUGAUUCUCAACUGGAAUGAUGCUUUAAUUGUCGGUCAAUCACGCACUGGUAAAACUACAUCUUAUGUAAUACCCUUUGUUAGCUGUCUUCAUGCUGGCACUUCGUAUCAUCAGCUGAAGACAACCAAUUGCCCCAAGGUGGUCAUUGUUUGUGCAUGGUCAGUUGCUUGUGAGGCGGUGGAAAGCAAAUUUAAACAUCUUUUGGGCAGUUUCCAACACAAAAUAAAAGUAGUAAAAGCCUACAGCUGUGGAAAAUACAAGAAUCUGGAAAAUUGGUAAGGCUUUUCUUAAUCAGGCACGUCAGCAAGUGCUAACUUAGUUUGUUUUUAGUUAUUUAUAAUCUGUCCAUUAUUUUGCCUUCAUUUUUGUUUUUCUCUCCUUGUUCUCUCACCUGUCUUAAGUUUUACAAACAAUGUCUCACUUGACAGUGUAACAAGGCACGAAACCAAGUCCAACAAAAAACGUGUUUCCCCAUUGAAUUUCUCGUAGAAUACAUCAGACACAUUAAAAAUUGUGGCCACUUGACAGGGCACCAAAUUAAGUACCACAAUACAUGUUUCCUAUUGAUAGGACUUUUUUCAAAAUCGGCAAUUCCCCCCUCUCCACCGUGGGGGAUAAUCGUGCUAUAUUUUGGGGGCUGAUAGAGGAUCAUCUUAGAGACCCAAAAAUGGUCGGUUUUUCUAAUCUUAAACCCGGGAGUUUAGGGGGACGAGGGUCAAAUUCCAAAUGGAUGAAUGCUCCCAACUUUUGAACUGUACAUGCUAUUGCAAUUUUAUUUUUUGCGUUAGAUUUUGUGUAAAAGAUACUGCAAUUUUAAGUUGUCGAACUUGAUAUAAUGUCGGUUUUUGACCAAAUUGUGAUGAUCUUUCAAUGUAAAAUCCCCUUUUCUCGGCCCUUUUACGAAAGAUGCCGUGAACGCAUUGACAUUUCUCAAAUUCACUUCAUAAGUUAGAAAUGAGCCUUUUGGUGUGUAUGUCAAUUCAAAUUUCGUACUCACAAAAAACCUGAGUCCUCUUGAGUCAAGUGGAGCAGAAAAGUGAUUUUUAGAAUACUUUUCAGCAGAAGCAUUUUCAAGUGUGCUGAUCAAUUUUUGAUAAAAGGUGCCUUGUAUCCAUAGAGCAAGAAAAUGUGGGUAAAACAGUGCUGCAGCUAUCUGCCUAACGUUUUAGGUUGUUUCUUAGUGGCUGACAUUUAUUGUGGUUUUUGACGAGUUGGAAUUUCAAAUUAGCUAUUCAAAUUGCAGGUAACGAACGUUAAUUCUUUAUUCAUGACGUAUUUAGGCGGGUUUCAAUAUAUUUAAGGGGUUCUGUGUAAAAUUUUGAUGUGAAAACAUGUAGUCUAGAUGUCUAAUUCUUAUCCGGUCUUGUGGCCCAUUUCUAAAUUCAUCUCAUAAGAAUGAAAACAGCAUUUUUCUGUGUUUGUCAAGCUACGUUUGACUAGUUCAGAAGCACUUUGUAUCAAAUCAAGCCAACUUCCAGAUUUUGCUUAACAGUUGUUCUCAAUGACCGAUUCGACCUACAUUAUUCUGAUUUUUUUUACAAGCAGGAAGUUUGAACUAACUGUUUUUGUCAUAAACUACCAACAUAAAUUUCUUACUUAUGAGUCAAUUCCAGAAAUCGCUGUUGUAUUCAAUGUGUUAUGUGUGACAUUUUGAUGAAGAAACAUACUAUAAGAAGUUUUACUCUUUCGAACGAGCCAUUAAAAUUCCUUCCUUUCUUGCACUCCUGCCAGUACUGUAAAGUACCUCUCCUUAAUUUUGCAUUGUUUGGGCGACAGGAAGAUAAAAAUGCAAUUCCAUGUACAAGCGAGAUCGUUGUUCCUGCGAAAAGUAGUUUUCCAUAACCCACCAUACAUCACUCGAAAGACCACAGGAGAUAGUUCGGGCCUGGACUGGGGGGUAAACGGGGGGUCCAAUUUUAAAAAUCGGGGCUCCUUUCCGAAUCGCAAAUUAAUUGCAUCCAAAUUGAGGAGCAGAACACAUUUACAUCUUAAGUGACCCCCAAGAGUUCUAAUUGACCCCCCUGAACGGCAGAAAGUAACCCCCUGAGGUGGGGAGCUUCGCCCUCUCCAAAAAUUUCUCAAGAUUCCUCUUUGGUCGCAAAAUUGACGUUGAUUCUCCAGAAAAAGACAGUUUCCCAGGUAAUCAACCCCGAG